UGAUAACAGAAAAAACACCUCAGCACAAAAGCACAUGACUAUCAAUACACCAUAGAAACACAAGACAAGCAACAGGGGCGGGUAAAGGGUAAGAGAGAGCCGGUGUAGACAGCGCAUCCGGUCCUGCAGCAUGUCUGUGCUGGUCCAGUUGACUGCUAUCUUCCCCGGUAGGGCACAAGCAUCGAAGGCGUUGGAAAGGGAGGGGGGAUGAGUGAGUGCUUAUCAGUGUAAGUGUGUGUGUGUGCGUGUCCAUAGUUUAGCUGAGACAGUGUCCUUCGGCCUAUCAGGCUAAGUAAACAGUCCUCCAGCCAAUCCAGGUGUCCUUGCAUGGGACGGGAAGAAUAGCCGUAACACAGUCGUUAUCAGGGAGUGAUUGUUCGGCUCCAGCCUUGGGCCUGCAGCUGGCGCCGUUAUGGGGGUCCGCAAUCUCAAUGUUGAUUUUGUAAAUUUCCAUGCGAGCAGCCCAGGAGAAUUUUUGGCUGCCCUAACACUCCGACACUGGCCUCUCGAGCUCCCGUUGGAGAGCCACGAUCCUCCCCAUGAUGGUAUCAAACUUCUUUUUUUUUUUUUUUUUUUUUUUUUUUUUUUUGGUAUCAAACUUCUGUUCCGUGGUGUUGUCAUUCUUUUGAUUCUGAGACCUCAAAGCUGCAGUGAUCCAUUCCGUGAUGUCGUGCAGCUGUCGCUCAAGGGUCUCAUUUUGAGCAGGCCUCUCUCUGAUGUAUUCCCCCAUACGCUCAAUGUUGUUGCUUUGAGCCUUCACAGCAGCUGUAAGCAUCUCCAAGGUGUUGACCAUAUUACGUUCGUUGUGAGAGGUCGCGCUUCGUCUCAUCUCUUCAAUUCCAGCGGGCAGCCUUGGGGGGGUUUGAACAGCCGGUUCCGCUCUCUUAUUUCUCCGAUAAACCAGGGCCAAGCCAACUCCGAUCAGCACGAACCCUGCUAUCAUGGUUCCGAAUAGAUAGAUAUCUUCAGCGUCCUCGAUCGACAGUCCCGCCAGACACAUGACUCUCCAGUUCUGCCACCCGUCCAUCGUGUAUCCGGCAGGGAAAGUCCC
ensembl:lncRNA